rnacentral:rRNA from 1 species
GAUGAACGCUGGCGGCGUGCCUUAGGCAUGCAAGUCGAACGGGUCUCGCAAGAGACCAGUGGCAGACGGGUGAGUAACGCGUAGGUAUCUACCCCUGGGUGGAGCAUAGCCCCUCGAAAGAGGGGGUAAUACUCCAUAGUCUCGUAAGAGUAAAGCACUUAACUGUGCGCCGAGGGAGGAGCCUGCGUCCUAUCAGCUUGUUGGUGGGGUAAUAGCCUACCAAGGCGAUGACGGGUAGCUGGACUGAGAGGUCGAUCAGCCACAACUGCACUGAGACACGGGCAGUACACCUACGGGUGGCAG